UGGGGAAUCUUCCGCAAUGGACGAAAGUCUGACGGAGCAACGCCGCGUGAGUGAUGACGGCCUUCGGGUUGUAAAGCUCUGUUAAUCGGGACGAAUGGUUCUUGUGCAAAUAGUGCGAGGAUUUGACGGUACCGGAAUAGAAAGCCACGGCUAACUACGUGCCAGCAGCCGCGGUAAUACGUAGGUGGCAAGCGUUGUCCGGAAUUAUUGGGCGUAAAGCGCGCGCAGGCGGAUUGGUCAGUCUGUCUUAAAAGUUCGGGGCUUAACCCCGUGAUGGGAUGGAAACUGCCAAUCUAGAGUAUCGGAGAGGAAAGUGGAAUUCCUAGUGUAGCGGUGAAAUGCGUAGAUAUUAGGAAGAACACCAGUGGCGAAGGCGACUUUCUGGACGAAAACUGACGCUGAGGCGCGAAAGCCAGGGGAGCGAACGGGAUUAGAUACCCCGGUAGUCCUGGCCGUAAACGAUGGGUACUAGGUGUAGGAGGUAUCGACCCCUCCUGUGCCGGAGUUAACGCAAUAAGUACCCCGCCUGGGGAGUACGACCGCAAGGUUG
rnacentral:rRNA from 1 species